rnacentral:rRNA from 1 species
UGGUCAUUUAGAGGAAGUAAAAGUCGUAACAAGGUCUCCGUAGGUGAACCUGCGGAGGGAUCAUUACACAAAUAUGAAGGCGGGCUGGAACCUCUCGGGGGUUACAGCCUUGCUGAAUUAUUCACCCUUGUCUUUUGCGUACUUCUUGUUUCCUUGGUGGGUUCGCCCACCACUAGGACAAACAUAAACCUUUUGUAAUUGCAAUCAGCGUCAGUAACAAAUUAAUAAUUACAACUUUCAACAACGGAUCUCUUGGUUCUGGCAUCGAUGAAGAACGCAGCGAAAUGCGAUAAGUAGUGUGAAUUGCAGAAUUCAGUGAAUCAUCGAAUCUUUGAACGCACAUUGCGCCCUUUGGUAUUCCAAAGGGCAUGCCUGUUCGAGCGUCAUUUGUACCCUCAAGCUUUGCUUGGUGUUGGGCGUCUUGUCUCUAGCUUUGCUGGAGACUCGCCUUAAAGUAAUUGGCAGCCGGCCUACUGGUUUCGGAGCGCAGCACAAGUCGCACUCUCUAUCAGCAAAGGUCUAGCAUCCAUUAAGCCUUUUUUCAACUUUUGACCUCGGAUCAGGUAGGGAUA